UACAGAGGUCCCGAGCGUUGUUCGGAUUUAUUGGGCGUAAAGGGUGCGUAGGCGGCGGAGUAAGUUGGGUGUGAAAUCCCGGGGCUUAACCUCGGAAUGGCAUUCAAUACUGCUUCGCUCGAGUACUGGAGAGGAGGCUGGAAUUUACGGUGUAGCGGUGAAAUGCGUAGAUAUCGUAAGGAAGGCCGGUGGCGAAAGCGAGCCUCUGGACAGUAACUGACGCUGAUGCACGAAGGCCAGGGGAGCAAACGGG
rnacentral:rRNA from 1 species